UCGAGGCAAGGAGCCCCUCAACCCGGGGUCCGGGUAAAAUACCUGCCCUCGGGAGUAUCGGGGUCAUGGUCCCCAGGUCUGGUUCAAACCCCAAAUGCCUCGGGGAGCAUUAUUAGACGAUCGAGCACGACCAACAAAAGGUCGUGAUAUCCGCGACCAGCCGGAUACCACGACGUGAAUCUCGGCACGUAUCGGCAGAAAACAGAUACCGGAGUAGCACUGGGUCAGCAGCAGUAUCUUGGGAGCCAGCCUUCAGUCCACCGAGAUUCCGAGGUAGUCCUGCAGGCGUUCGCAGGCCCGGCGUCUCUUCUAUUAGUUAUUUUGUUCUGUUAUCAUUGUAUCUGAGACAGACAGUGUUCCUUCUUUCAAACGUUUGUAUGUAGUAAUCAUAGAUAGUCCGUGAAAGGUUUGACACCAGUUUCUAGGUAGUGGCAUAUGUUGAUUUCCGAA